GGAGUUCGGUCCGUGUCUCAGUACCGAUGUGUGGGGACCUUCCUUUUAGAACCCAUAGGCAUCAUCGUCUUGGUGGGCCGUUGCCCCGCCAACUAACUAAUGCCACGCAUGCCCAUCCGCAACCUAUGAAUAUUUAAUCAGUCCCUCAUGCGGGGGGCUGAUACCAUCGGAGUUUAAUCGUCCUUUCGGUCGGCUAUCUCCGUGUUGCGGGCAGGUUGCAUACGCGUUACUCACCCGUCCGCCGCUCGUCAUCAAAAUAUUGCUAUCUCAUGUUACCGCUCGACUUGCAUGUGUUAGGCCUGCCGCUAGCGUUUAUC
rnacentral:rRNA from 1 species